ensembl:lncRNA novel transcript
ACAGAGAGGGGCCCCCAUAGCGCAGUGGCGGGCUGAAGGGCUCCUUGAGCAUGGCCAGAGUGGACGCCAAGGCUGAGGAGGCGCCGAGAGCCAGUGAGGGCUGCUAGCAUGUUGUCACCUCUCAAUACAUAAAACUACUGGAGGGUGGUUCCAAGAUGGCCAAAUAGGAACAGCUCCAGUCUACAGCUCCCAGCAUGAGUGAUGCAGAAGACGAAUGAUUUCUGCAUUUCCAACUCAGAUCUUCAACUCCAGAGAACUGAGUUUAAGGAGCUGUACCUGGGAAAUUGUGCCUGAAGCUGUUCCUGAGGAAUCUGCACCUGGAUCUAAUGUACAUGCUGAGAUCCUGGAUUUGAGCUGAUGCCAUAGUGGGAUGAGACUUUGCCGUCUUGGGUGUGGGAUGAAUAUAUUUUGCACUGGGAAGGAUGUGAAGUAUUGUGGUUAAAAGGUGGACUGUAGUUCAUUGCAUUUUUCAACAAUGGCCACAACAGCAUCUCUUAUCCUAUGUGCUCUUCUUCCAAUGUGACUGUGUCCUCUCUCAUUAAGAUGCGGAGUCUAUUUCUCCACUCUCUCAAAUCUGGUGGACCCUGGGACUUCUACCAACAGAGUACAGUGGAAAUGAUGCUGGGCCACUUCCCGGUUUGGUCUUUAACUAGUCUGGCAGCUUCUCCUUUCUGCUUCUUGGAAGCCAGUAAGAAGUACAACUAUCCUGAGGCUUCUGCUGUGAGAAGCCCAAGCCAUGGGAGAGGCUCUGGAGAAUGAGACUUCACUGGGAGAGUGAAGAGAGGAGCGAAGAGAAAGAGAGAGGCACCAAGGAUCACUGAGUUGCCAGAACAUGAAUGCUAAGGCCAUAUUGGAAAUGGAUUCUCCUGCUUCAGCUGCCCCAGCUGAUGCCACCAGGAUCAGAGAUGAUCUGGCCAGCUGAGCCCUUCCUUAAUUCUAACCCAUAAAAUUGUGUGCGAAACAAAAUGGUUGUUUUCAACCACUAAGUUUUGGGGUAGGUUUUAUGCAGCAGCAGAUAAUGGAAAUACUGCUUGGUUUUGACUUUCAAAAAAAUCCAUUUGUUUUCA